AACGAACGCUGGCGGCAUGCCUAACACAUGCAAGUCGAACGAGACCUUCGGGUCUAGUGGCGCACGGGUGCGUAACGCGUGGGAACCUUCCCUUAGGUUCGGAAUAACUCAGAGAAAUUUGAGCUAAUACCGGAUAAUGUCUUCUGACCAAAGAUUUAUCGCCUUUGGUUGGGCCCGCGUAGGAUUAGCUUGUUGGGGAGGUAAUGGCCUACCAAGGCGCCGAUCCUUAGCUGGUAUGAGAGGAUGAUCAGCCACACUGGGACUGAGACACGGCCCAGACGCCUACGGGAGGCAGAAGAAGGGAAAAUGACGAAAUGGGCGAAAGACGGAGGGAGAAAAGGAGCGUGAGGGAUGAAGGGAUUCGGAUAGUAAAACUUUGUUAUUAGGGAAGAACAAAUGUGUAAGUAACACUGCAAGACGUGACGGUACCUAAUCAGAAAGCCACGGCUAACUACGUG
rnacentral:rRNA from 1 species